CAGAACGAACGCUGGCGGCGUGCUUAACACAUGCAAGUCGAACGCGAAAGGGACUUCGGUCCUGAGUAAAGUGGCGCACGGGUGAGUAACGCGUAGAUAACCUGUCUUCAUGUCUGGAAUAAUACGCCGAAAGGGGUACUAAUACCGGAUAUUCUUGCUUUUCAUAAGUUAUGCAAGCAAAGGUGGCCUCUGCAUAUGCUACUGCAUGAAGAGGGGUCUGCGUACCAUUAGCUAGUAGGUGGGGUAAUGGCCUACCUAGGCGACGAUGGUUAGCGGGUCUGAGAGGAUGAUCCGCCACACUGGCACUGGAACACGGGCCAGGCUCCUACGGGAGGCAGCAGUGAGGAAUAUUGCGCAAUGGGGGAAACCCUGACGCAGCGACGCCGCGUGAAGUGAGGAAGGCCUUCGGGUCGUAAAGCUCUGUCAAGAGGAAAGAAGUGUACAAUGGCUAAUACCUGUUGUAUUUGACGGUACCUCUAAAGGAAGCACCGGCUAACUCCGUGCCAGCCGCGGC
rnacentral:rRNA from 1 species